rnacentral:lncRNA from 1 species
GAAAAUGCUACUUUAGGUAAAAUUCUAUAAAAUGUACAAAUCUCCAGAUUUGUUGAUUUCUUGGUUCCUCAUUGAUACUGUUGAGAUUCUUGCCGUAAUAUCCAUCCGGUCUUGGAUAUUUCGGCCUUAUGUUAUUUCGGUCUUCUGCUGGUUAUACUAACAAUAUUUUCUCGAGCUCGUUUAGGGUUAGGGUCGAUUCCAGGAUCACAGACUCGAUGUUCUUGAGGACGAAUACUCUGAUCUCGGGUUGUGGCUUGGUG